AAAUGCAUAAAAAUACAAAUUCCACCGUUUAAGCCUCUCUGCCUUCGUUCUUAAGGAACCAGAGAAGGCAGCUACGUGGAUGAACAGAGAAAGAAAGAAAGAAGAAGAGGAAAAAAAAAGGGGGAAGAAGAAGAAGAAAAAAAUUGGGGCUUUGAGGUUUCUUACUCAAAUCUUCUCAAUUGGGGUCAUAAUUCUCAAAGGCAAGUGUUCUAACCCCA
rnacentral:lncRNA from 1 species